rnacentral:rRNA from 1 species
UACAGAGGGUGCAAGCGUUAAUCGGAAUUACUGGGCGUAAAGCGCACGUAGGCGGUUUUUUAAGUCAGAUGUGAAAGCCCCGGGCUCAACCUGGGAAUUGCAUUUGAAACUGGGAAACUAGAGUGUGUGAGAGGGGGGUAGAAUUCCAAGUGUAGCGGUGAAAUGCGUAGAGAUCUGGAGGAAUACCGGUGGCGAAGGCGGCCCCCUGGACAAAGACUGACGCUCAGGUGCGAAAGCGUGGGUAGCAAACAGG